UUUUGGCGGAAGUGAGCUCUCCGCUGCUGCGGCAGGAAAAGAUGUCGCGUCUUCUGUGCUGGUGGCUGUGCUUCGGCCUGGGCAGCCUCCUGCCGCGGCAGGCGGAGGCCCCAAGCCCCGUGGAGCCGCCGGAGCGGAGCCGGCCGUACGCCGUGCUGCGUGGGCAGAACCUGGUGUUGAUGGGAACCAUUUUCAGCAUCCUGCUGGUGACCAUGAUCCUUAUGGCACUUUGUGUCUACAAGCCCAUUCGGCGUCGGUGACAGCCAAGCGAACAAGUUCUUCCACGAGUAUUGGGGAAAAGAAUAAAUUGUGUUGCACAUGGGUCAUUGGAGAAGUUGGAAUCAGAACUUUGCCACUUGGAAAUGACCUUCAGUCUGGGCAGUUGGUAAACGUGAAAUGAUUUAGAAAAAACAUCUUGCAGUUAUUUUUUCCUAAUGCUGUAAUGUAAAUAACGGAGUCUGCUUCUUGGUGUUUCUUUGUAUAUCUGGCUGCACUUAACACUUGUUACAAGUAAGACCUGAAGCUCCAAGGUUCAGUAUAAAGAUGGGAAAACAGUUAACUAUGCGAGUGGUGGGAAAACCAUACUGGAAAGGACUAAUCCUGAAUGUUUGAAAAUAUUCAUAAGGGGAAGACUUAACAUGUAGACAUUCUGUCCUUGAGAACCAUUUGGCCACAGUGGGGUUAAGAAUCACGCCUGUGUUUAGUUAGAUUGCGUUGGCCUGGACUGCCGGAGCAGUGUCAGCUCCGGGGAACUUAGGCCAUCACUCCUCAUGCCACAUUGGGCUCUGCACUCGCGUGCCCCCCCCCCCGAAUUCAGGGUCACAUCAGCUAGGCCUGUAACCAGGAGCAGCCUGGGGCUGGAAGGCUCAGAGUUGGGCUGGAAAUGUUACUGGUUGGCCCAUCUGAAAAAGCGCUCCAUCCUGCUGAGGCACAUGGAUCUCCCAGGGGCUGCACUCAAGCCUUUCCAGCCCCUGGCCUCAAACUUGUGUCAGCUUUUCAGAUUUGGAAUCUAAAAGAAACUCAGCAGGAGCCCUUUUUAGCCCUGGGUGGGCAGGUCCUCAACCCACAGAAGUGUGUGUUCCUGGUAGGAGGCUGAGUGGCAGCUGGAUGUGUGUUUACACAGAUUUCAUCUCAACCUUGAAAAUGCUAUUUUGCACUGUUGAACUGGAUUUUUUUUUCCUAUUGAAAAGAUACUUUUGUACUUACAAAGUGGUUAUCGGUAUUUAUUUUAAAGGUGCUAGGCUUAAUUUUGUUACUAAACUGAAAUGGUUGUCUUGUAUUCCAGUCACUGCACUGAUGUGUUUUGUUGUUUUGUUUUUUUAACAACCACACCGAAUGUGAAAUAAUAAUGUGGGAUACUGUAACUGUUGGAUUUAAGGAUUUUGUGUGUAACUCUAACAUUGAGCCUCUGAACUGUUCACCGUUCUGUGCUUUUGAGCAAAGUGUCAAUUAAAAUUAAAGUAAAAUCUUACAUGCUGUU